CGAGCCCCAUGGCGGACAGGGCUCGGGCCCUGCUCAGCGAGCAAACACCUUUCCUCUGGGGAGGCGGCGGGGCUGGCGACCUGGGCCGAGGAGCGCCAGGGCCGCCCGGAGACUGGAGAGGGCGGGGUGGAGGGGCAGAGGAAGGAGGCAGAGAUAAGUGAGAUGCCGUGAAGCCGCAUGUCAAAGAUGUCAGAGCCACAAGAGAGAGGAGUCUGACUCACCACAUGGAGGAGAAGUGCCCUCCCAUCAGAUAUACAUGUUUUAGACUCAUGGCUCAUGAAAGAUACAAGCACAAGACAAAAGAGAACCAGAAAACCGUGGAACCAAAUUUCUGGACACAAUAAAGAAAUUACUUUAA